rnacentral:rRNA from 1 species
AGUGAACGCUGGCGGUAGGCCUAACACAUGCAAGUCGAACGGCAGCACAGGAGAGCUUGCUCUCUGGGGCGAGUGGCGGACGGGUGAGGAAUACAUCGGAAUCUACUCUGUCGUGGGGGAUAACGUAGGGAAACUUACGCUAAUACCGCAUACGACCUACGGGUGAAAGCAGGGGACCUUCGGGCCUUGCGCGGUUGAAUGAGCCGAUGUCGGAUUAGCUAGUUGGCGGGGUAAAGGCCCACCAAGGCGACGAUCCGUAGCUGGUCUGAGAGGAUGAUCAGCCACACUGGAACUGAGACACGGUCCAGACUCCUACGGGAGGCAGCAGUGGGGAAUAUUGGACAAUGGGCGCAAGCCUGAUCCAGCCAUACCGCGUGGGUGAAGAAGGCCUUCGGGUUGUAAAGCCCUUUUGUUGGGAAAGAAAUCCAGCUGGCUAAUACCCGGUUGGGAUGACGGUACCCAAAGAAUAAGCACCGGCUAACUUCGUGCCAGCAGCCGCCGUAA